UGUGGGAGCGGGCUUGCUCGCGAUGCAGGCGCCGCGGUCUGCCGGGCUGACCGUGUCGAAGCCAUCGCGAGCAAGCCCGCUUCCACA
rnacentral:misc_RNA from 1 species